rnacentral:rRNA from 1 species
UUUUUUUUUGUCGGGUGACGGGGCCAGGCAAGGAGAGAAGGAGAGGAGGGUUAGAGGGUAGGGGAGUAGGCCUCCGUCGCCGUCGCUGCCGUGGCCUCCCUGCUGGGCCGCCGCUCCUGAUGGAGAGACCGUGCGCCUCAUGAAGGAAAGGAGAGAGUACGCCAUCCCUGAGUCUCCGCGGCACCCACCACAUUCCAGGCCCGCUCGAGUCGUCGCUGUUGCCGGAAGAGGCCGCAGGGAGAGGUGGCGGCCGCCAUAAUAGCGAUCCAAUAACCAAAAACCCUCGCCACGUCCCCUUCUCCUUCUUUCCGUUCUUUACUUUCCUUUCUUUUUACUCCUCGAGUCCGCUACCUCCAUUACGACCUCUGCCCGAGGACCGACACCCUAGUCUCCACAUCUAGUAUCGCCUCCUCUACUCGGUACACCUACCGUAUCUUCUCCCCCUCGAGUUCCGGCGCCUCUGCUUCCUUGUUGUCAUGUCAUAGUCCGAAGCUAGACCGACUCUAUAAAAAAACAAACAGUGCCCUGUACACUUAGGAGAGAGACCAAAAAGAAAACAGAUUUAAACUGAUUAAAGGUAGCACAUCGUUAUUUACUAACCAUGCUGAAUUAACUUACAAACAUUACUACAUUUAUUUCUUAGUUGGACAUGGAUCGACUGUUACGAUUAAGAGAGAUUAAAACACAAUUAACUUUAAAGGUGUAUGCAUACUCGUUAUAAAGAAGUUAAUUUCUUAUAAGUGAAAUGCUCCUAAAAACAAGACACGAUAAGAAUUCUUCCUAAACUUAACUACUACGAUUGAAAAUACAAAAUACUUAAAUAAUACGUUUGCUCCUUAACUUUAAGACGGUUCGUUAGAUCCUCAUCUUCUUAUACAUACGUUCCCUGAACCUCUGCUCCGUUACCACGCGACCGCUCUUGUGAUAACAAGACUACCCAAUCCUUGAAUCCUAACCCCAAGUCGACGAGAAGUCAAACAAUAUAGUUCCAAAACUUCGAAACCCUCGGACGCCGGCCAAGCCACCUACUGUAGUCGUUCGCGGCCGGGCGGAGCCGUGUCGACGCCCACCAAUAUACCACCCGCCUCGUGUGCUCACUCGAAGCUACAGUCCCAUGCCACCGUUCGAUUUAGGACUCAGGUCGAUCCGAAAAAAAGGCAAGUCUAAAACAAUGACAAAAGGUAAGCCCUAAAGUACCACUCGUUUGGAUCUUAAACGUCAACAAACAAAGUCUUUAAGUACAGGACUGUAGUUUAAAGCAAACAUUCCAUUUAGGACGGUUGUUCAGCUACGAUACCCCAAUGAUCAAGAGAAUUAAAAAGAUAAGAUUAAAACAUACGUUAAAUCUACUUAUAACAGAUAAAUUAAGUCCAUAUGCAAGGUGUACGAACACUCCAUGUGUAAAGCAUCCAGGUCUACAUUCACAAACGAACUAAACAGCGAGUUCAAAGUACAAGUUUACUACGAGGAACUGAAGUUAUGUUACAACCAUACAUCCUACUGAUAGAUACGUUGAAUAGUACGUGUUUAAUUUUUUACGAACCGAGGAGAAGACGUACAGAGGUUCCUUAUUAAAGACUACAUAUUACUCUAUUACUAAUAAAGAAAAAUAAAGAAUAGUACGCCGAUCAACGAUGUUUUUUAAUUGUGUAUGUAGCGGUGAAUAGUAAUUUUGUUUUAGUAUAGACGGUUCAAAGAUGUAAGGCAGCUUCGAACGUCUAAAUGGUAGAUAAAACCAUGUAAUAACUUUGUUUAGCAUUGGUACCUAAGAUAUACCUUCUAGCUUUAUAGUAAAAAUGUAAUCCAAGUACAUGACAUUCCUUAGCUGAAACAAGUAGAAGUUGGGUAAAAGGAUAGAACGUUUCGACAGGUAAUUUCAUACCAGUUAAAUAUGAGAUACUGAAUUAUGUAAACAUUGUGACAGUAUCACGGUAACUGUACGAGAAAAAAGUGAGGUAAAGUAUAACUAAGUAGAUGUACCAAUAUACGUACGAAAACGUAUGUAUUGAAUAGGUCAGGCGAUAACUAGUAAAGUUAAAAAGUAGGGCCGUCAUGCGACUAUCGGAUUGAUCAGACGAUAACUAGUAAAGGUAAAAGUAGGGCCGUCAUACGGCUAUAGAUAUUCGUUCGGUUAUCAAGGUUUUGCAACGAAGUGUUAAUGAGCCGUCAUAAACAGAUAAACUCGUCGUGUAUCGACCGAAGCCACCCAUCGUACCGUACAGGUAAGAGUUAACUUCAACCAGACUUUUAUAGCUUGAGACGGUACUUCAUCUUUUCUAUCGGUGGCAGGUAUCGAGAGUCCACUUACACCGUUCCGGUUUUUUGUUCAAAAGGUAACGGCCUAUAGGUUGUCUAGUUGACCACAAUACCUACGAAGAAUAUCUAUAAAACAACGGUAAAGUUUGUAGUUUGUGGUUGAUGAGUGUUACCUCUGUCCUUUGCACAUCGAAGACUACAGUUGAUUCACUCGGACGGUUAACACCGUUACCUUCCUCCACCGUACAGCAGAGUAAGUACUCCGAUAAUCAAAGUAUUGUUUGUAAAAGGUUAACGUACAGAAAACAUUUCACAAGUUUGACAAAAAACUCGUUUCUUUACUUUAAAGUUUCUGAAAUGGAUUAAAAUGAAAAAAAGGCUAACAUUAUGAUUUAGUUAAACAGUGUCAACAAAAGGG